rnacentral:lncRNA from 1 species
UAUUCGAAAACUUCCCUUUAGCUUUGCCACCGUUUGCUUUUCCUUUCCUCCCUAGGCACCCUUCCUCUCGUCGCAACUAACCUAGCAUCGGAACAUUAAACAGCCUUGCAGGUAAAAUUCAUAUCAUAUUCGGUUUGGGUCAGAACGGGUCCGGGUCAGUUUUUUUAUUGACUAAUAUGCGCUAAUUAUUCAUCUACUAAUGAUCUACUGAGGGUACAAGUUAUAUAUAUAAUUUAUGAUUUUUAACUAAUUUUUGAACACUAAUGUUUACUUCUAUGUUAUUACUGAUUUUCCUAUGCUUGGAGUCAUUGCUUUUAUCAAGAGUCGGCGUGAUGGUGAAUGCAUCGAUUAAUUAGGGCGACUACUAAGGAAGUUAAAAUCUGAGCUUCUAGGUAGGGAUGAGCAAAUCGUUCCCGGUACCGGUACCGAAUUUACCGAACCGAGUACUUUUUUGGUACUGAUUCAGUACCGACUUUUAGCAUUUUCGGUACCGGUUCGGUAUCGGUCAGGUACGGUACCGGUUUUUACCCUCAAAUACCGGUACAGUACAGGUACCGGUACCAAACCGUACCGAACCGGGUAUAUACGGUACCGGUACCGGUACCCACUUUUGGGGAUUUUCGGUACCGAUUCGGUACCGGACGGUACCGAGCUUAUCCCUACUUCUAGGUGAUGAUGACACAUAUUAUACUAAUGAAGCUAAAAUCUUAGUUUUCAGGUGAUGAUGACACAUAUUACCCUGGGAUUUAUGCAGGUUAUGUUGAUCAGUUUUGUUUAAACAUGAUGGAAAACAUGAAAACAUACCUGUUACAGCAGACAGUGCAGAGGAGAAUCCAGUGAGAGAAGAAGCCAUAGAGUUCGGCAUCUUUGUCAAGGUGAUCUGGUUCCUCCUUAGGGUGCAAACUGAUGAUGGUGAUGAUGAAAACCGAAUAAGGGAGUUCGGCUACGGAGAGAGAGGUCGAUAUUGAUGUUAUGAUUAUUAGGUUAUGUGUCUAACCUUAGAACCUCUACAUAAGUCUCCUUAUAUAUGCACCUAAGAGGAAACCUAAUAGUUAAUAACGGUAAUAUGGUCCAUCAACAAUUACCAACUAAUUAUCUAAUAGGUUAUUAUAUAUUUUGAUCUAUCUUAUGUAAAUGAUUAUAAUGGCUACUAGAUUAAAUAUUAAAACAUAAUAUAUUUAAUCUUACAUUCUCC